rnacentral:rRNA from 1 species
GACGAACGCUGGCGGCGUGCUUAACACAUGCAAGUCGAACGGUAAGGCCCUGCUUGCGUGGGGUGCUCGAGUGGCGAACGGGUGAGUAACACGUGCGUAACCUGCCUAUGACUUUGGGAGAACUUCAGGAAACUGGGGAUAAUACCGGAUAGGAGCUCCUGCCGCAUGGUGAGGGUUAGAAAGUUUCGGCGGAGGGGGAUGGACUCGCGGCUUAUCCGCUUGCUGGUGGGGUAGUGGCUUACCAAGGCUUUGACGUGUAGCGGGCCCGAGAGGGGGACCGGCACCAUGGCGACAGAGCUACGGGACGGAGUAGUGCGGGAGACAGGAGUGGGGGUGAUUGCCCGAUGGGCCGAACCCUGAUGCAGCAUCACGGCGCGAUGGGUGGUGACCUUCGGGUUUUCAGCCGUAUUCGCACGUACCUGUACGUAGCUGACGGUAAUGGAUGAAGAAGCACCGGCUAACUACGUG